UAGCGGGAAGCUGGAUGUGAAGUGGAACAGCCAGGCAUUCCAAUAUGGGGACUCCAGCAUUGCCAGCAGCAGCUUAACCUGCCACACUCCAAUGCCAGGCCACUCUCCAAAACUGUUUUUUGAGACUUCUUCAAUUCUACUUACAUCAGAUGGAGUGCUUGAAGACUAGCUAAUCCACAUUCAACACCUUAUGGGAUGUCCCUUAUUCCUUUUCACCAGGACAGCAGGUUUGCAAAGUAGAUAUGGAAUAGCGAGUCAUCAAUUACUGAGAUGUGGGAUGAAGACAGCCAACACAUUUAAGUGAUAAAAUCAGUUCAAGAAGCACCAACUCCGUGACUAGGAAAAUGUUUCAGGAUAAAUACACUUAAAAUGUUUCUCUGAGCUAAAGGUAAUGCAGUGUGUGUGUGUGUGUGUGUGUGUGUGUGUAAAACCCUCCAGCUAGUAAC